rnacentral:rRNA from 1 species
GACGAACCGAGCGAACGUUGUUCGGAAUCACUGGGCUUAAAGGGCGCGUAGGCGGGUGCUCAAGUCCGUGGUGAAAUCCUCCGGCUCAACCGGAGAACUGCCUCGGAUACGUGGGUCGCUCGAGGGUGGUAGGGGUAUGCGGAACUAUCGGUGGAGCGGUGAAAUGCGUUGAUAUCGAUAGGAACUCCGGUGGCGAAGGCGGCAUACUGGACCACCUCUGACGCUGAGGCGCGAAAGCCAGGGAGGACGCAAACGGG